UACGGGGGGGGCAAGCGUUGUUCGGAAUUACUGGGCGUAAAGGGCUCGUAGGCGGCCAACUAAGUCAGACGUGAAAUCCCUCGGCUUAACCGGGGAACUGCGUCUGAUACUGGGAGGCUUGAGUGCGGGAGAGGGAUGUGGAAUUCCAGGUGUAGCGGUGAAAUGCGUAGAGAUCGUCCAGAACACCGAUAGCGAAGGCAGCUUACUAAGGAGUAACUGACGCUGAGGCACGAAAGUGUGGGGAUCAAACAGG
rnacentral:rRNA from 1 species